UUGCGCGAGUAAUGAAAGGUAAGACAUGCAAAAAUGCAAUUGACACUUUCAUACCACCAUUGGCAUUCAAGUAUUGUUAUCAUCAUCCUCGAUAUCCCAGCUUAAAUCCUUGUCAUCUUCAGCAGCAUGCUACAUUUGGAUCAUAUUAGACAGUUUCUUUACAUGACCUUCCCAAGACAUUCUUACGAGCUACUGAAAUUAAAUGGUUUGCGAAAAGCGUAUACUGCCUUAAGAAGGGCAUUGACCUCUGAACAGCAGAACACACACAGAACUAGAUGAAGCAUUUACUGCUUCAACGCCUACUAGAUAAGAACUUUGAAUGUUCGAGGUAUGUGCCAGUCAUUUUUUAAAAAUACUUAAACAGCACAAUCAAGAUUAUAUUCCACAUGGCAUGAUCUCCAGAUUAUUAGCAGCAAUGCAGUUAGCUUUAUCACAAUUAUCCAGUGAGCACAGGUGCCAUGUUGAAUUAUAUAACAUAUAGAAGAUGCAAUAAUUCUGUUCAAGCAUAUGCCAGCUCGUGAUGUCAAGUUCUUGUUUGUGUAGCACAUGGUCACAUGCUCAUAUUUUAGUUAGGCAUGUCACUAAUUGAUGUCCCAUGCAUGGUGGACUAGAUUGUUAAGAGUGUGUUUAUUUUGAG
rnacentral:lncRNA from 7 species